AAAGCGGCAAAAUCAUAUUCGUGCAGGGAUAUUUGAAGACGGCUGAAGACCCAGAAGACAGUGUGACUAAUAUUCGUACACGUUUGUAGUCAUAGAUAACACAGUGUAUACUGUUUUAUGUGAUUGUAACUGUCAAGAGAUUAUGGUCAAAUGGCAUAGAAAUUUGUUUCUGUCUUGGUGAAAGGAAUGGAGACUCCAACAUUUGUUCGCUAUGGGAAGGCACAAGAAGUGGCGUGCAUUAGCAAAGAAGAUGAGAAGGAAAAGAAUUAGGCGGGCACUGGCACAAAGGAGAGAUGAAUUACUUCAGAAAGAACAAGAAGAAAGGGAGAAGUCUCCUCGAUACCAAGCCUGGCUCACUGAGCAGAAUGUGUUGGAAGAAUUUCGGCUUGAAGAAGAAUCUCGAUUACAGAUGGAGAGACACCGUCAGUGGGAGCGUGAUGAGGAAUUGGCCCAGCAGCAAUGGAAAGAACGUGAAGAGAGGCUUGCACGGGCUAAAGAGGAGAAAGCUAGACAAGAGUUAAAAAUUCGUGAAGAAUGGGAAUUGGAACAGAGGAGACAAAAGGAGGCUGAGGAGGAGGAAAACCAAAAGGAAGCUGAGAAGCUGAAGAAGCAGGAAGAACUUAUGCGGCAGAUUGAUGACUUCAUAAAACAUGGAGGCGAAUUGCCACCUUCAGUGAACAUUUCAACUGAGACUCACCCAGAUAAACCUGUUUGUCCUUUCUUCUCCAAAACAGGAGCCUGUAGGUUUGGUGAUCGUUGUUCUCGUAAUCACCCAAGACCAGGCAUUAGCAGAGUUUUGUUGAUUCCUAACUUUUAUUCCCAUUUUGGUAUCGAUCAGUCGAUGAUAGAUGAAUAUGACACUGAUCUUAUGCUGGAGUAUGAUGAUACAGAAACUUAUCAGCAUUUCAGGGAAUUCUAUGAAGACGUUCUGCCUGAGUUUGAGCUGUAUGGUCGAGUGGUACAGUUCAAGGUGUGUUGUAACUGUGAGCCACAUUUGCGAGGAAAUGUAUACAUUGAAUAUGCCAGCGAGAGGGAUGCUGUUGCAGCAUUCCAGAAGUUCCAAGGCAGGUGGUAUGGAGGUCGUCAGCUCAACGUUGAAUUUACGUGUGUCUCCUCUUGGAAAUCUGCAUUAUGUGGUUUGUUCUUCAAGAGUCGUUGUCCAAAAGGAAGGAGUUGUAAUUUUCUUCAUGUCUUCCGUAAUCCGGGAAAUGCUUUUGUGGAUGCUGAUCACGGUCGUGGGUAUUCAUGGAGACAUCGGCAACGCAACCCUAGGUCACGAUCAAGAUCGAGGUCCAAGUCUUAUUCUCGCAGUCCUUGUAGGAGGUCACAUAGGAGUAAGGACAGCAAGAGUCAUUGGAGGUGGUCAGAAUCCCCAGAGCCACCACCACACAGUAUGAACGGUGACUCUAAGCAGAAAAGUCAUCACAGUUCUGCUCGCAGAAGCCGUGAAAAGAUUCAUUCUCAAGAAAGGAAAGGAAAGAGAGAUGAGGAAAGAACUAGAAGUAGGAGUUCAAGAACGCUUAACUCUCACAGGAAGGAAAGGAAACGGAAAACAUCUUGGUCCCAUUCCAGAUCCAAGUAAAUAUCCUAAAACACAUUGUAAUGCAUCAGUGAGCAAAAUCUGUGGAGCCAUACAUCUUCUCAGGUUGUUUGUGUGAAUGCAGUCGCUCAGUGGGAUGUAGUGAUUAGGCUGCCGGCUGGAUACCAGAGAAUCAGGGUUCGUUUCUGGCUGGAGGUGGAGAUUCUCUCUUUUCCACUGCAUCAAGACUGCCUGAAAAUAAAAUGAAAAUCUGUUAGCACUUG